rnacentral:rRNA from 2 species
UAAGGGCGAGUCGUAGCGAGAUGAGAGUCUGACGGAGCACGCCGCGUGAGUGAUGAAGGCUUUCGGGUCGUAAAACUCUGUUGUUAGGGAAGAACAAGUGCUAGUUGAAUAAGCUGGCACCUUGACGGUACCUAACCAGAAAGCCACGGCUAACUACGUGCCAGCAGCCGCGGUAAUACGUAGGUGGCAAGCGUUAUCCGGAAUUAUUGGGCGUAAAGCGCGCGCAGGUGGUUUCUUAAGUCUGAUGUGAAAGCCCACGGCUCAACCGUGGAGGGUCAUUGGAAACUGGGAGACUUGAGUGCAGAAGAGGAAAGUGGAAUUCCAUGUGUAGCGGUGAAAUGCGUAGAGAUAUGGAGGAACACCAGUGGCGAAGGCGACUUUCUGGUCUGUAACUGACACUGAGGCGCGAAAGCGUGGGGAGCAAACAGGAUUAGAUACCCCGGUAGUCA